rnacentral:rRNA from 1 species
UACGUAGGGUGCAAGCGUUAAUCGGAAUUACUGGGCGUAAAGCGUGCGCAGGCGGUUGUGCAAGACCGAUGUGAAAUCCCCGGGCUUAACCUGGGAAUGGCAUUGGUGACUGCACGGCUAGAGUGUGUCAGAGGGGGGUAGAAUUCCACGUGUAGCAGUGAGAUGCGUAGAGAUGUGGAGGAAUACCGAUGGCGAAGGCAGCCCCCUGGGAUAACACUGACGCU